rnacentral:lncRNA from 1 species
AGGGGAUGACUCUGUAACCUGUUCGGAUGGUGUAUAUUUAGACAGAUUGCAGAGUCUGAGAGUCUACCCAGAUUCCCAAACAAUGUGAAACCUGAUAGGGCUGGAGUUCUCCUAGCCUAAGCUGUUCUACUAGAAGGUGAUGCUGCCCCAGGUGGCCAAGAGCAAAUAGCGUGGCUGCAUCAGGGUCAGCUCUGGCUUUGAUGUGUGCCAUUGCAGGAGGGGCCCAGACCUGAGAGAACCCCACCCCUGGAGAGCUCCCAUAGCCUCCAGCCUACUGCGUGGGCAUGGGGGUAGACUCUGUGGGAACUGGCAUAGGCUCACCCUAGGACAGCAUCUUACUCUAAAGGAGCAUUGAGAUUCCUAGUUUGCCUCAGUAUGAGAUCUGCUGCUGCUGACCAGGGCAUUGCGCUUUGAAAGCUUUCUCUGGCUGUGGUGUGAUUCCUGUUGUUCUAGAAGAAAAUGAAGACGGGAGAAAAACGAAGCUGGCCAUCUCAUAUAGAGCAGUGGACUUUGAGUAAUCAGUCAGUUAAGAUAAUAGUUAGAGAGUUCUAGAAACUGGUUCAAAAUGGUUCGACUAUGAGUAGGAUGAGUGGAUACUAAAUGUCCCUUGCUCCCAUCCCACCAUCCCAAUCCUACCUAGAGCCUGCUGUGGAGUUAGAACCCAGAACUCCAUUCAGGUGACAGCUAAGUCUACUACGAUUGGAACCUUCUUGGUUCCAAUGAUAGUUCUGGAAAGCAAACAAUGAAAAGAGAAUCGUGCCCAGUGUUUGCUGGGUGUGAGGGUCUUCGGCAGUGGGGACCAGAUGGUGAGGAACGGAAGCAGGCUUCUGCAUCGCCAGGGUUCAGGUUCCUUCUCCUGGUUUGAGUUCUGUUUUUUUUUUUUUUUAAAUGUGAAGAGAUUUUCUUUGUCAUUUCUAAAACUCCUGUCAGUUGCUGGAUGUCCUAAAGCUGUUGAAUAUGGACGUAACUGUAAAUCCCAGAGUGUUUUAUUUUGAGAUGAGAGUUUUGCUACAGUUUAUACAGGAUAUUUUCCUAUUUAGACCUCAGGGCUAUCUUGGGACCCACUACUAAGUGUGACCCCUCCCCGCAGCUUCAAUUCUGGGUAGAUGAGUUACAUAACUUUUAAAUGUGAUAUCCAGCAGGAAGAAUGUAUUUCUCUCUUUUAACUUCGGGCAAAUUUUGUUUUAAAGGUCUAGAAAAAAGACAGUAGAAGAAAACAGAGGUAAAAGAAUUAAAAACCAACUGUAAAAUAAACAUUCUCAUGGUAUACAAUUGUGCUACCUGAAUAAACUUAUGUGCAUAAAUUAUUUAAAAGUGCUAUG